rnacentral:rRNA from 1 species
UACGAAGGGGGCUAGCGUUGCUCGGAAUCACUGGGCGUAAAGGGCGCGUAGGCGGAUUGCUAAGUCAGGGGUGAAAUCCUGGAGCUCAACUCCAGAACUGCCCUUGAUACUGGCGGUCUCGAGUCCGGGAGAGGUGAGUGGAACUGCGAGUGUAGAGGUGAAAUUCGUAGAUAUUCGCAAGAACACCAGUGGCGAAGGCGGCUCACUGGCCCGGUACUGACGCUGAGGUGCGAAAGCGUGGGGAGCAAACAGG